GCCGAGCCGUGCCUGUAGUCUUUCCCUCUGAGACCUGCUGCAUUAACAGGCUGCGCUCUCUGCUGGUGCUGAUAACACCAGAGCUCCCGCGACAGGAGCACUGAGCAGUUGUAACACCUCAGCAGCCUUGAGUGUGGCAGCAACAACAUUCCACGCUUCCACACCUAGAAUACUUAAGGAAGUAGCUGAUGCAAUCUCAUUAAUGAUUAUCUUCGAGACUACAUGAAGAUGUUUGUAACUUUGAGGUUCUGGUGUAAUUAAGAACUUGAACAUGCUACCUAGGGAGGUUGUGGAAUCCCCGUCACUGGAGGUUUUUAAUAACAGGUUGGACAAACACCCGUCAAGCAUGGUCUAGAUUUGCUUGGUCCUGCCAAGCUCCUGGACUUGAGGUCUUCCCGAGGUCCCUUCCAGCCCUACAUUGCUAUGAUCCUAUGACUUGUAAACUACAUGGGUGGAAUCCUGGCCUCACUGAAGGCAAUGGCAAAAAUCCCAUUCACUUCAAUGGAAUCAGGUUUGUAAAUUAAGCCAAAGGGUUUAAUGCAGAGGUCCUUAAACUUUUGUGGUGAUGACCCCUUUCACACAGCAAGCCUUUGAGUGCGACCCCCUCUUAUAAAUUAAAAACACCUUUUUUAUAUUUAACUCCAUUGUAAAUGCAGGCGGUGAAGCAGCGUUUGGGGUGGAGGCUGACAGCUCAUGACCUCCCAGGUAAUAACCUCACAGCUCCCUGCGGGGUCAUGAUCCCCAGUUUGAGAACCCCUGGUUUAAUGAAACAGUGCAAACAUGACUACCCCAGCUCCUGAUGAUCCACUGAAGCCUGCUUCCUCCACAGUCGAUCCUGGCUGGUGUGUACCGCAGAUAUUGCACCAUGUGGUGGCAGUUUUCCUGGUGGGGUUGAUUGUGUCUCUGAGUCUGGCUUGGAUUCGCUGCUGUUCCAGUCCAGGGUCAAAGGGUUUAUGCCCAAGUGAAGUUUCAGUCAAGGAAUCACAACCAGAUCAGGAUGCAGUGGCUGAUGGAAGAGAAAAAUCAUAACCCACACUGGGAUCCGAGCCUGGAAACUCACAGCUGGCUCACUCCUGACCUCGACGACGGCAGCCAUUUUGUAAGGUGAUGUCUUUCUGUAAAAGCUAUUGGAUUGUUGUUACUGCUUCUGCUCUUCACGGCUGCUGCGUGUGGCUCAGUUGCAAAAUAUAACUCGAAAGUAA